GAUGAACGCUGGCGGCGUGCCUAAUACAUGCAAGUCGAGCGAACGGACGAGAAGCUUGCUUCUCUGAUGUUAGCGGCGGACGGGUGAGUAACACGUGGAUAACCUACCUAUAAGACUGGGAUAACUUCGGGAAACCGGAGCUAAUACCGGAUGAUAUUUUGAACCGCAUGGUUCAAAAGUGAAAGACGGUCUUGCUGUCACUUAUAGAUGGAUCCGCGCUGCAUUAGCUAGUUGGUAAGGUAACGGCUUACCAAGGCAACGAUGCAUAGCCGACCUGAGAGGGGGAUCGCCAACAGUGGAACGGAACACCGGUCCGGACUCCUCGGGGGGGAAGAGGGGGGGAAUCUCCGACAAGGGGCGAAAGCCGGACGGGGCAAUGCGGGGGGAGGGAUAAGGGUCUUCGAAUGUAAAAAUUUUUUUAUGAGGAAAAAAAAUAUGGGAAAGAAAGUGGACACAUUUGGAGGUUACCUAAUAAGAAAGCCCCGGCAAACUCGGCC
rnacentral:rRNA from 1 species